AUGCUAUUAUCACUUUACGAUAGUCCUAUUUAGCCAUCUUUAGCUCCUGGUUUUUUUUAGGACUAUCCAAACCAUUAAAAAUGUU
rnacentral:sRNA from 1 species